CGACAAUAGAGCAGCAGACAGCCCAAAGUAAGAAAUUGGUCUUUAACGCAGCGAGUUAAUUCCACACAAGCAGUGCACUUUGACGGUAGCCGCUGCAAGGUUAUCUGCCUGAAUUUAACACAUAGUUUUUAAUUGUAACGUACACACAUCUGAGAAUUAUAUAAAGAGAAAUGGAACUUCUUUUAAUUACUUUGCUGAUUUUUUCUGGGAGACGAAAUCCUGAAUGUCAAAUUAACAUUGAUGAUCCAAGUUUCCAAAACAUCAAAGCUGCCCUUCCGGUUCCACCAGGUACACCAAUUAUUGGAGGUUUGGGGUACUCAGGUUUCCGCGUAAAAGAUGUUACCGACACCAGAACAACAUAUAUUGAAAUUCCAAGACGAUGUAACCUUGACCUAGAACAUCUUUUGUUCAACGCAUGUAGAUUCGACGACAAUCUAAGAAAAUAUGUAUUCAGACCUGAAAUUUAGUUAAAACCAAAACUUCAAACAGCACAAUAUCAAGAAAAUAAAAAAAAUGAAUUGUGCUUCUUAACAUAAAUAUAU